UACGUAGGGGGCAAGCGUUGUCCGGAAUCACUGGGCGUAAAGCGCACGUAGGCGGACUCUUAAGUCGGUGGUGAAAUCCUGGAGCUCAACUCCAGAACUGCCUUCGAUACUGGGAGUCUCGAGUUCGGGAGAGGUGAGUGGAACUGCGAGUGUAGAGGUGAAAUUCGUAGAUAUUCGCAAGAACACCAGUGGCGAAGGCGGCUCACUGGCCCGAUACUGACGCUGAGGUGCGAAAGCGUGGGGAGCAAACAGG
rnacentral:rRNA from 1 species